CUUGCUCUCGAGUGAUCAGUGGCGAACGGGUGAGUAACACGUGAGUAACCUGCCCCAGACUCUGGAAUAACCCCGGGAAACCGGAGCUAAUACCGGAUACGAGACGGAGCCGCAUGGCUACCGUUUGGAAAGUUUUUCGGUCUGGGAUGGACUCGCGGCCUAUCAGUUAGUUGGUGAGGUAACGGCUCACCAAGACGACGACGGGUAGCCGGCCUGAGAGGGCGACCGGCCACACUGGGACUGAGACACGGCCCAGACUCCUACGGGAGGCAGCAGUGGGGAAUAUUGCACAAUGGGCGAAAGCCUGAUGCAGCGACGCCGCGUGAGGGAUGAAGGCCUUCGGGUUGUAAACCUCUUUCAGCAGGGAAGAAGCGAAAGUGACGGUACCUGCAGAAGAAGCACCGGCUAACUACGUGCCAGCAGCCGCGGUAAUACGUAGGGUGCGAGCGUUGUCCGGAAUUAUUGGGCGUAAAGAGCUUGUAGGCGGUUUGUCGCGUCUGCCGUGAAAAUCCGGGGCUCAACCCCGGACUUGCGGUGGGUACGGGCAGACUAGAGUGUGGUAGGGGAGACUGGAAUUCCUGGUGUAGCGGUGAAAUGCGCAGAUAUCAGGAGGAACACCGAUGGCGAAGGCAGGUCUCUGGGCCACUACUGACGCUGAGAAGCGAAAGCGUGGGGAGCGAACAGGAUUAGAUACCCU
rnacentral:rRNA from 1 species